AGUGAACGCUGGCGGUAGGCCUAACACAUGCAAGUCGAACGGCAGCACAGUAAGAGCUUGCUCUUACGGGUGGCGAGUGGCGGACGGGUGAGGAAUACAUCGGAAUCUACUUUUUCGUGGGGGAUAACGUAGGGAAACUUACGCUAAUACCGCAUACGACCUACGGGUGAAAGCAGGGGAUCUUCGGACCUUGCGCGUUUGAAUGAGCCGAUGUCGGAUUAGCUAGUUGGCGGGGUAAAGGCCCACCAAGGCGACGAUCCGUAGCUGGUCUGAGAGGAUGAUCAGACACACUGGAACUGAGACACGGUCCAGACUCCUACGGGAGGCAGCAGUGGGGAAUAUUGGACAAUGGGCGCAAGCCUGAUCCAGCCAUACCGCGUGGGUGAAGAAGGCCUUCGGGUUGUAAAGCCCUUUUGUUGGGAAAGAAAAGCAGCAGGUUAAUACCCCGCUGUUCUGACGGUACCCAAAGAAUAAGCACCGGCUAACUUCGUG
rnacentral:rRNA from 1 species